CUUCCACCUACCCGUUCUGUUGUUAAGUCAUGAGGAGGAGAAAGUUCCAGCCACUAUAGGAUAGUGUAGUCCCUGCAGGUCAGUUGUUGUUAGCCUCUGCAGGACAGAUGUUUCCUGAAGGCUUGUUGUUGUUCAGGGCAAUUAAGUCCCUGAAGGUUUGUUGUUGUUUAGGGUAGUUAAGUCCCUACAGGUUUGUGGUUGUUAGCCUUUGAAGGCCUCCCAUAUGUUACUCAUGGAAAUCAUGUUCUUGAAGUUUUGUUGUUGUUCGCCACUAUUGAUGGCAAUCCAGUCCCUGCAGUUUGUUGUUGUUCGUCACUGGAGGCCCU
rnacentral:sRNA from 1 species